GUGAGGAAUAUUGGUCAAUGGACGGAAGUCUGAACCAGCCAUGCCGCGUGAAGGAUGAAGGCGUUCUGCGUUGUAAACUUCUUUUAUUAGGGAAGAAACCACUUUUUUCUAAGAGUGUUGACGGUACCUGAUGAAUAAGCACCGGCUAACUCCGUGCCAGCAGCCGCGGUAAUACGGAGGGUGCAAGCGUUAUCCGGAUUUACUGGGUUUAAAGGGUGCGUAGGCGGAUUAUUAAGUCAGUGGUGAAAUCCCGGGGCUCAACCUCGGAACUGCCAUUGAUACUAUUAGUCUUGAAUUAUGUUGAGGUUGGCGGAAUAUAACAUGUAGCGGUGAAAUGCUUAGAUAUGUUAUGGAACACCGAUUGCGAAGGCAGCUGGCUAAACAUAUAUUGACGCUGAUGCACGAAAGCGUGGGUAGCGAACAGGAUUAGAAACCCGGGUAGUCC
rnacentral:rRNA from 1 species